rnacentral:snoRNA from 1 species
GUAAUUCUUCGUUCUAUGGGAUCGUACCCCUGUGUCCUUUAGCACGAAGGAGAUAGGAACCAUAGUCUGGAAGAUGAAGCAUGGUCGUACGAUCCAAGCGUGAUUAACGGCUAAGGAUCCUUUGGGGUUCGUGAGCUGUAGAGGAUCGUUCUCAGCCACACGUGGCUGGGGUGGUUACACGGUUGCCUGAUAGAUU